GGAGACUAAGCGUGCAUCACGUGACCUGUCAUCCAGAACCUCAACUAUCUGCAUCACAUCAUGAUUAGCUGCUAGAUCCUCAGAUCCCACUACCACCUUGACAGGGUUUGGGUCCAUAAACUCUUGUGCUAGCUGGUGCACAGCAAAAGGCCAAGUUGCACUGAACAUUACCAUCUGGCGGACAGCUGAUGUUUGGCUCAGUAAGAACCGCACUUCUGGCUCAAAUCCCAUAUCAAGCAUCCGAUCUGCUUCAUCAAGAACCGCAAAGGACACCU
rnacentral:misc_RNA from 1 species